ACGGGAGGCAGCAGUGGGGAAUAUUGGGCAAUGGGGGAAACCCUGACCCAGCAACGCCGCGUGGAGGAAGAAGGUCUUCGGAUCGUAAACUCCUGUCCUCAAAGACGAGAAGAAGACGGUAAUUGAGGAGGAAGCCCCGGCUAACUACGUGCCAGCAGCCGCGGUAAUACGUAGGGGGCAAGCGUUGUCCGGAAUGAUUGGGCGUAAAGGGCGCGUAGGCGGCCCGUUAAGUCUGGAGUGAAAGUCCUGCUUUUAAGGUGGGAAUUGCUUUUAAAACUGGAUAGCUUGAGUGCGGAAGAGGUAAGUGGAAUUCCCAGUGUAGCGGUGUAAUGCGUAGAGAUUGGGAAGAACACCAGUGGCGAAGGCGACUUACUGGGCCGUAACUGACGCUGAGGCGCGAAAGCGUGGGGAGCAAACAGGAUUAGAUACCCUGGUA
rnacentral:rRNA from 1 species